rnacentral:rRNA from 1 species
GACGAACGCUGGCGGCGUGCUUAACACAUGCAAGUCGAACGAAGUGGCGAACGGGUGAGUAAUACGUGGGUAACCUGCCCUCCUUUUUGGGAUAAGCCUUGGAAACGGGGUCUAAUACCGAAUAAAGGGGGAUGGGCUCGCGGCCUAUCAGCUUGUUGGGGGGGUGAUGGCCUACCAAGGCGGGGACGGGUAGCCGGCCUGGUAGGGUGACUGGACACAUGGUGAGUGAGAUACGGCUCAGACUCCUACGAGAGGCAGCAGUGGGGGAUAUGGCACAAUGGGCGAGAGCCUGAGGCAGGGACGUCGCGUGGGGGAUGAAGGCGUUAGGGUUGUAAACCUCUGUCGCUAUCGAACCGGUAGGUGGAGAAGAAGCGCCGGCUAACUACGUGCCAGCAGCCGCGGUAAUUC